CUCGGCAAAAAUCUAGGCUGCCACCACUGCCUAUGUUACUGGUGAAAUUGUAAUAUUCUGUACCGGGACACCCUGUAUAAACCGCAACCGAAAUAAUAAUUUGAAGAUACUUAUUCAAUCUUCCAUAAUUCGGCGUACCUAUAGAAUUUGAUAAAAAGUGAACACAAUAAUAAUAUGGAGAAACAGGUGAGCAUAAGAACUAUUAAAUUUCAACGAUCCACGAUCCUAAUCAAUUUUUAUAUUUUCUUUUAUUGCAUUUUACACAGUCAAUUACCCACAUACCUGUCUAUGUUGGUUUUUUUUUUUUUAGUAUUUUUCUGGGUGAUUAAAAUUUAAUGCAAGGUAUGUAUAUAAACCUCCAGCGAACUAGCAAAUUUUGAGAUACUUGAGUUCACAUUCUACGUAUCACAAUUCUGUGUAUAGCAUUAGAUAAAAAGUUGAAACAAUAAUAGGUACCAUGGAGAAACUUACAAUUUUCGUGAUCGGUUUAUUGAUUAUCUGUAUUACAGUAGUUCCAGAAAUCGAAUCUCGACGAAAAGAUACUCUAAUGGAUUUUGGAAUGGAAUCGGUGGAAUAUUCUGAUACGUGUUGUAGUAUGAAUGGAAAAACAUUUUCUGAUAAAGAAACUUGCAAGAAGAAGUGUAAAAAAGGGUGUCAAUCCAAAGGAUGUGGCGGAAUGAAACGCUGUUCGAUGGUAAAGGACAUACAUAAGCACAUUUAUGGUUGUUUUUGCCAAAUGGAAUGAUCAACAGGUACCUAUGUGCAUAAGGUCAAAAGAUCAAGUAUUUUGACCUGUUGAUCUAGGUUUUAUUGUCCUAUUAUAAUAUUAAUAUCACAAUAAAUCCAUCCUAAACUCAA